rnacentral:misc_RNA from 1 species
GUGAAUCAUCGAAUUUUUGAACGCAAAUUGCACUCUCCUCGGAGAGUAUGCCUGUUUGAGGGUCAGCCUAUAAAAAAUCGACAUCGUUGCUGUUUCGCGGUGGCGUUCGUCGGAAAUUGGGUCAUCUUAAAUCUUUUGGUUUUUUGCGACUUUUAAUUUUCCUUUUGGUUCCCUAAACGUUUCUAUGAUUUAUUUCUUUACACACUUAAGGUAUCUCUUUUUUUUUUACGCGACCAUCAU